AUUUCCUGCCGCUUUUAAACCCCGGUAGCGUGAGUUUUCACCCCCUUUUCGAAGAAAUGCCAGAAGACGCAGAGGCGGUUGAAGCAGUGGAGUCUCAAGUCUUAUAAUAUCAGUGACCGAAAUUACAGUCCGCUACAAUGACUCAACAAGACGUCAAACCAGAUGGGCUGCAGGAUACGGGAUAUGGGCUGCUCUCUCAUUCCGGAGUCCGAACACCAGUUGAGAGAAGAGGGAAGGUGCCCAUUAAAUGAAAAUGCAUUUAAUGUGCAGGAGGCUGUCAGGUUUGCAGCAUUAAAGCCAAGAUGAAAUCAAACUAUGAAUGGCACACAAAGGAAAUAUUAAAUGCAAAGGAUUGUAAGUUUUUCCACAGGCAAAACUAUAUAAAUCCAGAUGGCACAGUGGAUCAGCCCAAGCCGAAGAAAAAUAACAGUGGAGGGCUGAAAAAAAUGUAUGAAGGUGGUGAUAGAAUAAGAAUUUCACACCUCCAGUAUACCACACUUGGCUUUAGCACAUCAGAAAGGGCUUGGAGAGAAAGCACAGAUGAACACAAAUGUAAAUGUAGUAUACAAGACAUUAGGUAAUGUUAUUGUCUAAUGCUUUCCACUAUAUUUCUUCCUGUUUCAUAAUAAACAUUCAAACAAAG